ensembl:snRNA U1 U1 spliceosomal RNA
CCACUUACCUGGCAGGGGAGAUACCAUGCUCACGAAGGUGGUUUUCCCAGCACCAGGCUUAUCCAUUGCACUCCAGAUGUGCUGACCCCUGCGAUUUCCCACACGUGGGAAACUCGACUGCAUAAUUUGUGGUCGUGGGGGGGACUGCGUUCACGCUCUCCCUGC